rnacentral:rRNA from 1 species
AGAUGGCGGCCGGCGCACGGGUGAGUAACACGUAUCCAACCUGCCGAUAACUCGGGGAUAGCCUUUCGAAAGAAAGAUUAAUACCCGAUGGCAUAAUAGAACCGCAUGGUUUGAUUAUUAAAGAAUUUCGGUUAUCGAUGGGGAUGCGUUCCAUUAGGCAGUUGGUGGGGUAACGGCCCACCAAACCUUCGAUGGAUAGGGGUUCUGAGAGGAAGGUCCCCCACAUUGGUACUGAGACACGGACCAA